GAAAUAAUUUAAAUUGAACUUCUAAUUCAAUAUGUAAUGAAUUUAAUUCAUUUUAUUUCU
rnacentral:tRNA from 1 species